UCGAAAUGCUCACCUAUACUUUAGGGGAAAAAAACCCACAACAUUUUGCAAAAAUGGAAUAAAUGAUCAUUCAAAGCAAAAGCAUGCAGUUCAAAAGCUAAACCUCCCAUUGGAGAACAGAAAAUUUAAUGAGCUUUUAAUGGAAUGCAAUGCUCAGAGUAGUAAAUUAUUUGUUAGUUGACGAUGCAAUCAGCAUGCUGAUUAAGGUUGCUUGGUUUUUUACUAAACAUUAACUGAAUGAAAACGGGUAGCCCUUGUUCUGCUUGGGGGGCUUUAAGGAAGCAAAUGGACUUUCAGAACAGAGAUUGUCAAUAAAGGAAGAAGGAAUGAAGUGAGAAAUAUGUGAUGCAUGGUACAACCGAACAGAAGGAGGCCUUUUCAAAGACACCGACCUGUGAGGGACCUGGUUGUGGCUGCAUCCACUCCAGGAACCAGAAUACACUCUGCGGAUAUGGUGGACUCUACCUGAUUUAGUCAUUUUUCCUUAACAACACCUAAAGACAAUGCUUAAGACACUUAAUCCGAAAGCAAGCAAAACAACAUGGCAAAUGGAGCCCGAUGGUGCAGCCAGAGGAACCCUGAGGCUGGAGUUCUGGGGCUCAGGGUGUGAUACUCAGAAAAAUAAUUUGCCUCUCUGCAUUUCAACAUGUGUUCCUAAGUGGAGAUUUUUACUGAAUGAGAAAGCAAUAUUGCAAAUAUUGCUAUUAAUUCAAACACAUGGCACAGGAGUCAUGAAUACCACAGUAAGCACCUAUAGGGGGCGUUCAUUAUUUCUUUAUUAGUGCAUGUUUGUGGUAUAUAAUGUUUACAUUAUUUGUGGGGAAUUGGUACAUGUUCACAAUAGAUCUUAGUUCCGUUUUAAAUCUCCUUUCCCAUCAUCCUUUCUUUCCCCUCUAUGCAUCUCUGGCCAUUAGAGAAAUGCAAAGUAAAACAGCACUGAGAUUCCAUCUUAACCCAGAAAGAAUGGCUACCAUCAAGAAAUCAGAUAAUAACUAAUGCUGGCAGGGAUGUGGGGGGAAAGGGAGCUACCUACAUUAUUGAUUGGAAUGUAAACUAAUACAACCACUUUGGAAAUCAGUAUAGAGAUUCCUAAAAAAUCUGAAACUAGAAACUCCAUUUGACCAAGCUGUUCUCCUAAGUAUCUUCCUGAAAGAAUUAAAGUCAUCAUGUUACAGAGAUACAUGCAUAACAUUUUUAUAGCAGCAGAAUUCAUAAUAGCUGAAUGUCUAUCAACAUAUGUCUAUCAACAGAUGAAUAGAUAAGAAAACAUAUUUACACACCCUGGAGUGCUACUCUGCCAUAAAGACAAAGUGGAGUCAUUUGCAGGAAAAUGGAUGCACCUUGAGACCAUAAUGUUAAGUGAAAUAAAUCAGACACACAAGCUUAAACAUCACAUAGUUUCUCUUAUAUAAGAAACCCAAAGAAUAAACAAAAGGCAAAAUAAAAGAUAGAUGAUCAGAAGCAGGGAGAUAGAUCUUCCUCAAAUGAGAAGAGGAUGAAGAGAUGCAGAGAAGGGGAGGGAGGAGAGGGAAAGAGGAUGAAAAACUAACGAAGAUGUGUUCUGUUCUGGUUCCAACUCCACACAAGGAAUGGAAACAUCAUGUAUUGCAGACAUGUAUAAAAAUUUUUUAAAUUUUAUAAAAUUAAAAAAAUUUUUUUUGUUAAGAAACAAAAAUCCUCAAAAAGAAAGAAGUCCUUUAAGAAUACCAAAUAUUGGGGCUGGGGAUUUAGCUCAGUGGUUCCGGCGCCUGCUGUGCAAGUACAAGGACCCGAGUUCGAUCCUCGGUACCCAAAAGAAAAAAAAAAGAAUACCGAAAAUGCUCCUUUUCUAGUCUCGAUAAGUGAGAAAACCAAGGGAGAAACGUGCUGAGAAUGGGUUUGGGGAAGCUAUUGAACAUCUACAGUGUUGGCUAUAGGAAGCUACUGGUCACCCCCAGUUGGGUCUGAUGACAGAGAGCGCCUUCUACUUCUGUUGCUUAUGCCUGUGACACCACAUUCUUGAUUUCUGGAGCUGAGAUAAUUAUAGUACUAAUUUCCUAAAGUUCUUAUAUGUUCAUUUUGUGAGCUAGGGAAUGGAAAGUGCUCAACACAAUGUCUGGCACAUAGCAGGCUUUAAUUAAUAUGGGCAACUGUAGAAGUGCCCAGGAAUUACUGACGUUAUGCUCAGCUCAUACUUCUCUUUGACUAAGGAGAGUGAGCCCAUUAACAUUGUCUGUAUAGUGCCUUUAACUUUUCAAAAACAGUGUUUGUCCAAGGAAUUCCCACCUCGAGCUCUGGCGAUGUCCUCCAAAAAAGUGUGGGUGGAACCGACCCCACAUCGCAGGCCUGGGGGGGACCCCUGCAGCUGACCCGGGGCAGAGCUGCUCAGGCCGGAAGUGGAUAGACACCCAGCUGUGCCCUGAGAGGGGCCGCCAGGAUUCCAGGCAAGGUCUUUAUUGCUGAAACUCUUGCAUAAUGACAUCUUUAUUCAUGUGAAAGCGCAGUGUGGAAUUCCACUGUAUGAAAUUGUUUAUGUUCAUCAGAAAUGUUAUUUGUCUUUACAAAGUCUGGUUUCAAUGAACCUGCUCUGUAAUGGAUAUUAAAUAAACAUGGAAUUUUACACGUUCAUAAUAUUUGGUUUCUUGUUGUGAUUUUGAUGAACUACGCUUUCAAGCAUUGUCAGUUCAUCCUUAUUUACAAAGAACCAUUUGCUUGUAGCAGAGUGAUGUAGUGACUUGCUCUAUUUUAAGAUAAAGUCAACUUUUCUAUUCAAUGUUUAAUGUGAAACUCAGAAAUAUUCUUUUAGGUCACAUUUACAUCUCUGUCUGUAUAACAUGCACUAUAUUAUUUUAACUAAUACUGUGAGCUAUAUAAACCAAAGACAUUCUAAUUCUGCUUUUAAUGUAUUUUUUGUAAGAUAAAUAAUUUAUAAUGCACUAAUAAAACUAAGGAGCUCAUGUUAAAACUUGUUAUAUGACCUACUGAAAUUGAUCUAUAGAAACUGACUCUCUUAAAAAUAAUUUCAUAAAAUUAUUUUGUAUAAAAUUGACUUCUUUGUAUGAAUUCUUGACAAGUAUAAAACAAAACUUUGAAACUCCGUUUCCAUCUUUCUACACAUUGAAAAGAAGUAAUUGAAUACUUUCUAAGUCUGUGAUUUUUCUGUCUCUGGGAAAAAGAAACCAGAUUAAUCGUGAACACUUGACUUGCACCAGUUUAUGGUCACCUAUUUAAAAUAUGAAAUUCCAAUUUCCAAUGAUGAAUGUCCUUAUAUUGCAUACCUAAAAUGUACCAAUGAUUAGAAUGAAUAAUCGAUAAAGCAAAAUAGGAAGAAAAGGUCCAAAGGUGUAGGGAAUAGUGGGAGAGGCAGGGGAAAGGAAAGAAGGGAAAGGAAAAAUGAUGAGAAAUGGAAAAAAUGGAAAUAAAGUCUUCGUAAAUAGGGAAGGGUGGAGGACGUGAAGGGAGGACUAGGAAUGGGGAAAAAAUAAG
ensembl:lncRNA